rfam:Bacillus sp. FJAT-21945 super3, whole genome shotgun sequence.
AGAGUCCUGAUGUGUUCGUUGUGUAACCUAAAAUUUUGACCAACAUUAUUUCUUCGGGAGAUCGGGUUUUCCAGCCGCGUAAAUGCCUUAUGGAUGAGGACUUACAAAAGCGGAAACAGGUCACCCACCUGCUGAGUGCGGGUUCAAAACGAAGGCAUCAAGGCGACGGCACGAUUGGGACUCUU